AGGACGAACGCUGGCGGCGUGCUUAACACAUGCAAGUCGAGCGGUAAGGCCCUUCGGGGUACACGAGCGGCGAACGGGUGAGUAACACGUGGGUGAUCUGCCUCGCACUCUGGGAUAAGCCUGGGAAACUGGGUCUAAUACUGGAUACGACCAGGGACUGCAUGGUUUCUGGUGGAAAGGUUUACUGGUGCGAGAUGGGCCCGCGGCCUAUCAGCUUGUUGGUGGGGUAAUGGCCUACCAAGGCGACGACGGGUAGCCGACCUGAGAGGGUGACCGGCCACACUGGGACUGAGACACGGCCCAGACUCCUACGAGAGGCAGCAGUGGGGAAUAUUGCACAAUGGGCGAAAGCCUGAUGCAGCGACGCCGCGUGAGGGAUGACGGCCUUCGGGUUGUAAACCUCUUCGACAGGGACGAAGCGCAAGUGACGGUACCUGUAGAAGAAGCGACCGGCUAACUACGCGCCAGCAGCCGCGGUAA
rnacentral:rRNA from 1 species